rnacentral:sRNA from 1 species
UGUCUGUGGGUUAGUUCGCUCGUCGAGCC